CCUUGACAUCCAGAGAACUUAGCAGAGAUGCUUUGGUGCCUUCGGGAACUCUGAGACAGGUGCUGCAUGGCUGUCGUCAGCUCGUGUUGUGAAAUGUUGGGUUAAGUCCGCAACGAGCGCAACCCUUAUCCUUUGUUGCCAGCGGUUCGGCCGGGAACUCAAAGGAGACUGCCGGUGAUAAACCGGAGGAAGGUGGGGAUGACGUCAAGUCAUCAUGGCCCUUACGGCCAGGGCUACACACGUGCUACAAUGGCGCAUACAAAGAGAAGCGACCUCGCGAGAGCAAGCGGACCUCAUAAAGUGCGUCGUAGUCCGGAUUGGAGUCUGCAACUCGACUCCAUGAAGUCGGAAUCGCUAGUAAUCGUAGAUCAGAAUGCUACGGUGAAUACGUUCCCGGGCCUUGUACACACCGCCCGUCACACCAUGGGAGUGGGUUGCAAAAGAAGUAGGUAGCUUAACCUCCGGGAGGGCGCUUACCACUUUGUGAUUCAUGACUGGGGUGAAGUCGUAACAAGGUAAGCGUAGACGU
rnacentral:rRNA from 1 species